AGCGGCGAAAGGGAGAGUAAUACAUAGGUACCUACCCCCGGGUCUGGGAUAGCGGCGGGAAACUGCCGGUAAUACCAGAUAAUGUCUCCGGACCAAAGGUGUGAUUCCACCUGGGGAGGGGCCUGUGGCCUAUCAGCUAGUUGGCGAGGUAACGGCUCACCAAGGCUAAAACGGGUAUGGGGCGUGAGAGCGUGCCCCCACUCACUGGGACUGAGAACUGCCCAGACACCUACGGGUGGCUGCAGUCGAGAAUCUUCGGCAAUGGGCGAAAGCCUGACCGAGCGACACCGCGUGCGGGAUGAAGGCCUUCGGGUUGUAAACCGCUGUCGUAGGGGAGGAAGGGCCUGCGAAGAGCAGGACUUGACCGAUCCUAGGAGGAAGGGCUGGCUAAUCUCGUGCCAGCAGCCGCGGUAAUACGAGAGGCCCAAACGUUAUUCGGAUUUACUGGGCUUAAAGAGUUCGUAGGCGGCUUGGAAAGUGGGGUGUGAAAGCCCUCGGCUCAACCGAGGAAUUGCGCUCCAAACUACCGAGCUUGAGGAAGCUAGAGGUGAGCAGAACUGAUGGUGGAGCGGUGAAAUGCGUUGAUAUCAUCAGGAAUACCGGAGGCGAAGGCGGCUCACUGGGACUUUUCUGACGCUGAGGAACGAAAGCUAGGGGAGCAAACGGGAUUAGAUACCCCGGUAGUCCUAGCCGUAAACGAUGAGCACU
rnacentral:rRNA from 1 species